AAUACAGCAGAUGACUCAAGGAAUGCUUAGACAUUUAUUUGUAUGCAUACAACUUUGGGAAAGUAUGAACAUCCAAUGUUGAAAAUGAACUAAAAGAUACUGAUUAUAAAGAAUUUAUGCAAUGUACGUGUAAUGGUUAUUAGAUGGCAGUAUAUCAGAUCAAUCAAGGCAUGCUGAGACACGAAUUCACAUUUCUACCACUAAGGAGAGUAUCAACAUCCUAGGUUGAAAAUGGACUAGAAGAUACUGAUAAUAAUAUUGGAUUUAUGCAAUGGUUAUUGAAUAUAAUUUGGUUAUUGAAUAUAAUUGAUACUAAAUUAAUAGCUGUGAAACAAUUGAGAUUUGUUAAAUAUCUGAAUAAAAUAAUAGUAAACAACUUUA